UGGAAGACUAGUGAUUUUGUUGUUUUAAAAAAAAAGUAUUUUCCUAACAAGAAGUCUCUAGUCUUCUUAC